UACGGAGGGGGCUAGCGUUGUUCGGAAUUACUGGGCGUAAAGCGCACGUAGGCGGCUUUGUAAGUUAGAGGUGAAAGCCCGGGGCUCAACCCCGGAAUUGCCUUUAAGACUGCAUCGCUAGAAUUGUGGAGAGGUAAGUGGAAUUCCGAGUGUAGAGGUGAAAUUCGUAGAUAUUCGGAGGAACACCGGUGGCGAAGGCGGCCACCUGGUCCGGCACUGACGCUGUAGCGCGAAAGCGUGGGGAGCAAACAGG
rnacentral:rRNA from 1 species